GCAAACUUGGUCAUUUAGAGGAAGUAAAAGUCGUAACAAGGUCUCCGUUGGUGAACCAGCGGAGGGAUCAUUACAGAGUUGCAAAACUCCCUAAACCAUCGCGAACGUUACCAAAUCGUUGCUUCGGCGGGCGGGGGCCCCAGCGCCCCCCCCCACCAGGCCCCUCCAGGGGGGCGCCCGCCGGAGGUACCCCAACUCUUGACAAUUAUUGGCCUCUCUGAGUCUUCUGUACUGAAUAAGUCAAAACUUUCAACAACGGAUCUCUUGGUUCUGGCAUCGAUGAAGAACGCAGC
rnacentral:misc_RNA from 1 species